UACGGGGGGGGGCAAGCGUUGUUCGGAAUUACUGGGCGUAAAGGGCUCGUAGGUUGCCAACUAAGUCAGACGUGAAAUCCCUCGGCUUAACCGGGGAACUGCGUCUGAUACUGGAUGGCUUGAGUUCGGGAGAGGGAUGCGGAAUUCCAGGUGUAGCGGUGAAAUGCGUAGAUAUCUGGAGGAACACCGGUGGCGAAGGCGGCAUCCUGGACCGACACUGACACUGAGGAGCGAAAGCCAGGGGAGCAAACGGG
rnacentral:rRNA from 1 species